GGAGGUUACAGGUUCAAGUUGCGAAAACAGCAUUAUGGAGAGAGAGAAAAGGGUAAAGAAGGUUCAUCAAAAUACAAGAGGGGAAGGCAAACAUUUAAUUUUAUUUAGGCAAACACUCUUCCUUAUAAACAACUUUGCUAUAAAUUCGAUAAACUCAAUCAGAAAAAAACAUGGUAUAUCAUACAAAGAUAUGAAUGGGGACUAGACUCGAAAGUAUAGAAGAUCAUAGUCUAAAUUUUCUGGAAGCGUACGCGGAGAAGGGAAUUUGGGAAGAAAACUUGCGAUGUGGUUGGCCAUUUCUAAAUACGAUUUGUGCUUACUGAUGAUAAUCCCACCCUCAUUAGCACCAGCAAGCGGCAAGUCGUUAAUGCUGUUGGCGUUUUUCUGUUUUCCUACAACUAGGUUCUUAAAUGCCUUUUUCUUCAAAGACCAGCUUCCAGUUUUGAAAUUGAAAUGAUAUAAAGGAAGAAAUCGCUGCCCAUAAAUAGCUAUAAAUUCCAGAGCUGCAAGAAUGAACUCAAAUUCCUCAUUGGGCAUGUAGUAUGGGAAGCUAACUCUUGUCCAUCCUGGCUUUACUCCAUGAUAUCCCUUAUGUACGGCAGAUCUGAUAGCAAGGGAUCGAGCCUCACUGAUGUUGAGCAAAACAUGACCAUAAGGUCCAGCACAUGCACACCCACCUCUGGAUUGAAUGCCAAACAAAUCAUUAAGCAAAGAUGCAACAAAAGCUCCAUGAAGAGGCUUAUCCUUCUUGUUCCCUGUCUCUGCCCACAUGUAAAGAUCUCUUUCCUUUCCUUCGCUAGAUUCAACUUCUUCAAUUUCACUCGAGGAAGAGUUUGUAGUAUAAGAUACGAGGAAGGACAAUAUGGCUUGUCUCUUGACACUUGUGUUUCCUAAAACCCAUAUGUUCUUGUUGGACAUAAGCCUAUUUAAUGCCUUUUUUAUGUAAUAGGUUUCUUGUUUUUCUAUCAUUUGGUAGCCAAUGUAUUCUUUAACCCAGAAAGCCAAUGCUGCUCUAAUUGUUUGGAUUAUUUGUGGAGUCCCUCCAUUUUCUCUCUCUUCUAUCUCUUCCAAAUAUAA
rnacentral:misc_RNA from 1 species